rnacentral:rRNA from 1 species
UACAGAGGUCUCAAGCGUUGUUCGGAUUCAUUGGGCGUAAAGGGUGCGUAGGCGGCGCGGUAAGUCGGGUGUGAAAUCUCGGAGCUUAACUCCGAAACUGCACUCGAUACUGCUUUGCUUGAGGACUGGAGAGGAGAUUGGAAUUCACGGUGUAGCAGUGAAAUGCGUAGAUAUCGUAAGGAAGACCAGUGGCGAAGGCGGGUCUCUGGACAGUUCCUGACGCUGAGGCACGAAGGUCAGGGGAGCAAACGGG